UGUUCGAGUUCAAGUUCACUUGCUUUGUGCUGAAAGACUUCAGAUGAAGUGCUGUGAAGUGGCUUCUCUCAUCACUUUUGUCAAACUGCACUUUCAUAACAGAGGAUCCUCUUACUGGGCUCUGAGCCAGUCCAUACUGGUGGACACCUGUUGCACAAGCUGACUGUUGCGUAAGUUGAAAAAACAUUUUUAAAAAUGGGAAACGUACCAUCAGAAGCAAACAUGGGUGACACGCUCAAGUGUUACAAGUGUAACAAAGUCUUGCCUCCAUGUUUGUCCUUUGAUAAUUUAAGAAAAGAUGUCAUCAAUGGGCAGCAAGUGUACGUGUUCAAUGGAGGGGAAUACUACAGACAAGUUGGCGCUCAUAAUGAAUACCAGUGUCCAGAUUGCUUUUAUAAGCAGGCCAGAGAUGCAGAAUGUAGUAGGGAAGAAGAAAAAAAAUAAGAGAGAAAGAGAGAAGGAUAGAGGAGUAGAGAAGACAAGAAGAACAACAAAGGAAAGAAGAGGUGUAAAAUUCGGCUUAAAGCUGAACUCACAAUGCACUCAGUAAAUUUUGUAGUGUUAAAUAAACACUUAAAGAGUAAAAUUUAA